rnacentral:rRNA from 1 species
CAAUAGCGUAUAUUAAAGCUGUUGCGGUUAAAAAGCUCGUAGUUGGAUUUCUGUCAAGGACAACUGGUCCGCCCUCCGGGUGAGCACAUAGUUUGGUCUUGGCAUCUUGCUGGAAACUGUUGCUGCGCUUGGUUGUGUGGUGCAGCUUUCAGCACUUUCACUUUGAGGAAAUUGGAGUGUUUCAAGCAGGCACAUGCCUUUGGACACAGUAGCAUGGAAUAAUUAGAUUGGGCUUUUGCUCCAACUUGUUGGUUCCUGGAGCUGAGGUGAGAAUCAAUGGGGAUUGUUGGGGGCAUCCGAAUUUAGCCGUCAGAGGUGAAAUUCUUGGAUCUGCUAAAGACGGACAACUGCGAAAGCGUUUGCCCAGAAUGUUUUCAUUGA